GAUUUCACUAAGAGUGACUUUUACACCUGUGAAUGUGAUGGUGUAGACAUCUGUGAUGUGCAACUACAGGUUGAGGGAACCAACACAAACACCACAACAACGUUGCCUCCAGUAAACGGAACACACCUUUCAGUGUGCAGCUGCAGACUCUGAAGACGCCGCCUUGACGACAGCGCUUUAAGGUUUUAUACCAUUUGAAGGACGUGAACACAUGGUUCAUUCCUCACUUAGUGACACGUAAUGAUCUGUUGUUUCUUGGACCAUCGUGGAGCCUCGCCACAA